rfam:Sus scrofa chromosome 15.
UCCCUUGUGGCUUAGCAGUUAAGGACUUGGCAUUGUCACUGCUAUGGCUCAGGUUCAAUACCUGGCCUGGGAA